CUAGGUGUUACAGAUCAUCCCUGAGAGCAUGUUGUCUCCUCUACUCUCCACUAGGUGUUACAGAUCAUCCCUCAGAGCAUGUUGUCUCCUCUACUCUCCACUAGGUGUUACAGAUCAUCCCUGAGAGCACGUUGUCUCCUCUACUCUCCACUAGGUGUUACAGAUCAUCCCUGAGAGCACGUUGUCUCCUCUACUCUCCACUAGGUGUUACAGAUCAUCCCUGAGAGCACGUUGUCUCCUCUACUCUCCACUAGGUGUUACAGAUCAUCCCUGAGAGCAUGUUGUCUCCUCUACUCUCCACUAGGUGUUACAGAUCAUCCCUGAGAGCACGUUGUCUCCUCUACUCUCCACUAGGUGUUACAGAUCAUCCCUGAGAGCACGUUGUCUCCUCUACUCUCCACUAGGUGUUACAGAUCAUCCCUGAGAGCAUGUUGUCUCCUCUACUCUCCACUAGGUGUUACAGAUCAUCCCUGAGAGCACGUUGUCUCCUCUACUCUCCACUAGGUGUUACAGAUCAUCCCUGAGAGCAUGUUGUCUCCUCUACUCUCCACUAGGUGUUACAGAUCAUCCCUGAGAGCAUGUUGUCUCCUCUACUCUCCACUAGGUGUUACAGAUAAUCCCUGAGAGCAUGUUGUCUCCUCUACUCUCCACUAGGUGUUACAGAUCAUCCCAGAGAGCACGUUGUCUCCUCUACUCUCCACUAGGUGUUACAGAUCAUCCCUGAGAGCAUGUUGUUUCCUCCACUCUCCACUAGGUGUUACAGAUCAUCCCUGAGAGCAUGUUGUCUCCUCUACUCUCCACCAGGUGUUACAGAUCAUCCCUGAGAGCAUGUUGUCUCCUCUACUCUCCACUAGGUGUUACAGAUCAUCCCUGAGAGCAUGUUGUCUCCUCUACUCUCCACUAGGUGUUACAGAUCAUCCCUGAGAGCACGUUGUCUCCUCUACUCUCCACUAGGUGUUACAGAUCAUCCCUGAGAGCAUGUUGUCUCCUCUA